UACGGUGCAGAAACCUUUAAACGAGCAAGGAGACCAUACCGACCUAUGUCAGCUUGUUUCUUAGACCUAGUCCUAGGUGAUAGUACAUUUGAAUAACAUAAGAUUUUUGGCAGGCUACGCGAGAUAGGGACAUGGAAAAGACUCCCAAUGUAUAAUUGUCUAAUAUUCAUUACAUGUUAUGGUGUGGAAACCUUAAAACGAGCAUCGGGACCAUAUCGACCUUUGUCAUCAUGCAGCCGAGACCUAGUACUAGGUAAUAGUACAUAUGAAUAACCUAGGAUUUUAAGCAUGCUAUGCGAGAUAGGGACAUGGAAAAGGCUCCCAAUGCAUGUUUGAUUCAUAUUAUAUACAUGUUUUGGUGCGGAAACCUGAUAACGAGCAAGGUGACCAAAGCGACCUAUGUCACCAUGUAGGACAGACCUAGUACUAGAUGAUAGUACAUAUGAAUUAUCUAGGAUUUUAGGCAGGCUAUGCGAGAUAGGGACAUGGAUAAUGCUCUCAAGGUCCAUUGUCCUAAUAUUCAUUACAUGUUAUUGUGCAAAAACCUUCAAACGAGCAAGGGGACCAUACCACCCUAUGUCAGCGUGUAGCUUAGACCAAGACCUAGGUGAUAGUACAUAUUAAUUACCUAGGAUUUUAGGUAGACUAUGGGUGAUAGGGACAACAUGGAAAAGGCUCCCAAUGCCUAUUUUCCUCAUAUUCAUUACAUGUUAUAGUGCAAAAACCUUAAGACGAGCAAAGGGACCAUAGCGACCUAUGGCAGGUCGUUGCUUAAACCUUAUCCUAGGUGAUAGUACAUAUGAAUUACAUAGGAUUUAAGGCAGAUUGUGCGAGAAAGUGAUAUGGAAAAGGCCCCAAAUGGCUAUUUUUAACUCAUAUUCAUUAAAUAGUACGGUGCAGAAACCUUAAAACGAGCAAGAUGACAAUAGUGACCUAUGUCAGCUCGUGGAUUAAACCUAGUCCUAUGUGAUAGUAUAUAUGUAUUACCAGGAUUUUAGGCAGGCUAUGCGAGAAAGGGACAUGGAAAAGGCUCCAAAUCCCUAUUUGCCUCAUAUUAUUACAUCCCAGCAAGCAAGGCUAAAUGGGUCCCAUAUGGGCUGAAUCUGGGCAAAAAGCCCAUAUGGGGCCCAUAUAGGACCCAUAUGGUUGAGAAUGCCCAGAUGGGACCCAGAUGGGACCCAUAUAGCUGUUCAUCUAUAUUGAUUGGAUAUACAAAGGGAAACGAAGAUCAUUGUUAUAUGAAAAUAUGUAAACAUCGAUACUAUGUGAAAAAAGUUCAUUAUUUCAUGAAUCGGAUUCACAUCUUUUGACAUGAUAUGCCCCAGAUAGGUCCCAUAUGGGUCCCAUAUACUCGGCAUUAUCAUUAUAGUAGGGCAGUGUUAGAUGGUAAGGCACGAUGUUGUGGCGAUGAUACAUAAAUACACAAGGAAAAAAUAUUUUUCCGUAUUUUCAUUUUUUUAUUACUUCUUAAAUAUAAACCUUUUGCAAUUGUGUUUUUAGUAGCAAUUUAGUCACGAAUAAAAAAAAAUAUGCAGAAAAAAUUGUCACGUGACAUUUUAUAGACGCGCGGAUGAUGAACGUGAUUGAGUGAAAAAAUAAUGGUUAAAUUCAUCUUUUAAGAACAGUGCACCAAGGAUCGAGGCUGUACGAGGAUAUGAGCCAGGGUGCCACUGAUGCUAAUGGUGAUGAUGAGGAUGAUGGCCUUGUUACAGUCAAGACCAACACCCCCCAACAUUCCAGCUACCUGUUCAUUAUUCGAUGCUCGGCAGAGCAGAAUCCAAAAAGAUCAGGACACCUGGAUCUUUGUGAUUUUGGAAAACCAGCAGGAGCAAUUGCGAUAACAUACGCAGCUCCUGCGUCUCAUCCUGGCGAGAGAUUCAGCACAAGAUGCAGGUCCGAGUGAGUUGCCAGAGGAGAUAUCUUUCCCCCUCAAAACUGUGGUGGAUUUGGCAGCCUUCAAAGAGCGAAAGUCACAAGCGAAUGCUGCAACAUCCAUUGUAAAAUACUUGGCAGAAUAUGGUGGGAGUGACACAGUGGACACGGUUUCCCGGAUAAUGAAGACGGUGUUGACAACAAAUCUGGCCCGCCAAUACAACCUAAAGGAAACCAAACAAAAAAAGAAACUGGACAGACUCCACUUGAUAAACAUCUUUUUCAGAUGUCAAUAAUUGAACCCAGCAACACACUUUAGAACCGCAAGGAAAUGGAGGGGGCCAUAUAGAAGUGGCUUUCCGAGUCGCGGAGUCGUGAGGUUGGCCGCAAAGACCGAGCAAGAGUCACCCCGAUGCUUCCUUCAGUAGAAUGUUGACUUAUUUACUUACCAUAAAAUUUACGAUUCCACGAACCACGAACAUACGGAUUUACAACUCAGAAUUAAACCAGCAAAACUUGUCAGACUAUUUUUCAAAUUGAUAGUAUACAAUAAGUAUGCUUCUAUUGUUUUAUCAUAAACACAUCAAUGUCGUGUGACAUGUUAUGUAGUUUGUAUGCAAAAUGUAUCACAAUAAUGUAAUAAUGAGAUAUCUCCAACUUUUCCCCUAAAUUUUCAUAUCAUUAAGGGCUUCAAGAAGAGCAUUUCUUAUCUAUAUUUAUAGGCAAAUCCAUGUUGCUUUUACUUUUUUGUAUAAACAUAAGACAAACUGUCCAUGACUAAUAAGAGACCCAUCAACAAGACAAAUAUAUUUAGUUCACAUUUGGAUGAUUGUUCUAAAGAAGACUCUUAAUAAGCGAAACCUGUUGACAUUGAAUAAUUAUCAUAAUAUCUCGGAAUGAUGUCAGUUUUUGUUUUACUAUAAUAUUUUCUUAUCCUGGGUACACCAUUUUAAACUUUGAUACACUCAAAAUAAACUUAUUUUAAGAUGAAGUAAGAAAUUUGGCUGAAUGAAAUAAGCUACUUAAGGGUGUUACGCUUAAGAACUUUCGAGAAAUUGGGGCCAGAUGACUUUAAUUAUAUCAACCCCAUUUAUUUCCCUGGCGAUAACAGUGAUCCCAGAUUUGUAUAUGGUAGAUACAUAUUUAACCUAUGGAUUGAGCGUGUAUAUAUUAAUAAAUUCUUCUUGAUAUACAACAAUGAAUCAGGUCUAAAUGAUAUAAUUUUAUUAUGUAAAUAUUUGUUAUACAAAUGUAACUUAUAUGCUGUUGCUCUACUUUUGUUUCAUAUGUAUUUUGUAAUGUAACUCAACAUACAUGGAGGAAAUAAGGAUAUAUAUAUGUUUUAACAUUCAGUCAUGUCAGUUCACUAGUCAGUAUUACAAGGUGCAUUAAUUGUGUUAGUCAAUAGCUCUGGUUUGUGUUUAAUUUUUUCUCCUUUUAAAUUCUUUUUUAUUUUACAUGUAUGAUUUUUGUGAUUGAAUCCAAUGUACCAAUGAACUUGAAACUGUUAUUUCAUUUCUGGUUUGAAACGCUGCUUUAUGUCUAAGCAAUAUUGUUAUACUUGAAUGUGUAGAUGCACUCCAUGCUCUGUUUAUUAGAAUUGUGCGUCUUUCGAUUAGUGUAUUUUUUUUUAAACACAUUCGUUAAAGCAUUCGGAGCUCCGCGGCCAUUUUUAUCGAAAACAACCUUUGAUGUAUGCCGGUACAUCAGUUAAAUUUCUUAAUUAUAUCAUUAAUUAAAUGUAGGGUUUUAGAAUUGUUUUUAUUGAUCUAAGAUUAAAUUGAUUGCCAGUGAAGUGUAAUAUUGCAAACAUAAUUAAGAUUCCCAAGAGUUAAGUCAUAAAGUUUAACUGCUAAAAAAAUUACUACGCGAUCUACUUGCAGCGGACUUAAACGUACCGCUUUUUGAGUAUGUAAACCGUCCAAAUACAUCAGAGGUUGUUUUUGAUAAAAUGGCCGAGGAGCUCCGAAUGUCGUUAAAGUCUUUAAAAAGUGUGUGUUUUUUACAUGUAAUUUUUGACACACUUUUUCAGUUUGACAGCUUUAACUGACAGAUACAAUCAAUAAAACAGUUUUCACUUAUUAUUAAGUUAUUAAUCAAAUUAUAAAUGUACUAGAUAGUUUUAGCUUGGUAUUGUCAAACCAAACUGAAAAAAAUGUGUCAUAAUUUCAGUGACAUUUUUCUUGUGUGCCACUUUUAUAUUGCCAGUAUUACGCAAAAUCUUAACAUUGUCAGUAUGUAAUUUUUGUUGUCUUUUUUAGUGUACAUCUUGUUUUACAUUUCUAAUGUUUUCAUGUUAAUAAACUUAAUAAGAUUA